rnacentral:rRNA from 1 species
AUUGAACGCUGGCGGCAGGCUUAACACAUGCAAGUCGAGCGAGCGGCGGACGGGUGAGUAAUGUCUGGGAAACUGCCUGAUGGAGGGGGAUAACUACUGGAAACGGUAGCUAAUCCCGCAUACCAUCAGAUGUGCCCAGAUGGGAUUAGCUAGUAGGUGGGGUAAUGGCUCACCUAGGCGACGAUCCCUAGCUGGUCUGCGAGGAUGACCGGCCACACUGGAAACGAGACACGAACCAGACACCUACGGGAGGCAGCAGUGGAGAAUAUUGCACAAUGGGCGCGGACCUGAUGCAGCCAGGCCGCGAGUGUAAAGAAGACCUUCGGGUUGUAGAGCACUUUCAGCGAGGAGGCGUUACUCGCAGAAGAAGCAACGGCUAACUCCGUGCCAGCAGCCGCGGUAAUUC